CGGUACCUGGUGGUGGUUGUAGGAGUUUCUCUGCUGCAGGAAGGCGGCGGCGGCAGCCGCCGCCUGGUGUUGGUGCUGGAGCUGGGGGCUCACAGGGGAUCUCCGGUUCUGCUGUUGCUGCUGCUGCUGCUGAGGUACAUCACCUAUUUGCAACACAGGAACACUCUAAAUUUGCCUUUCCAGACUUUAGAGUGUACUGAGAGUCUUGGACUCCAUGUUCCCUGAUGGUUACCGAAGCGAGACUGCCUGAAGAGGGGAGCAUGCUGGCAGAGCCACGCUUCACCUGAGUGACUUGAAGAAGCUAGAGAGUCAUGGAGCUGGGAUGAGUUCCUUAGGCUAGACAACAAACAUUACAAAUGCCAAGCCAUAUGCAAUAUCACUAUACAUAAUAUGUAAAUUGAAAAAAACAGAUGUUGCAAAGCAAGCUGUCAGUGUGGUAGAACCAAGUUAUUGUUUUUGUAGCUAUUAAUCAACCUGCUUCUGUAUAUUCAUUCCAACGAAUGUGCCAGACAUUGACUUCACCUGGGAGGCCUGUGGGAGAGCUGGGGCUGACAGCUCUCCUGGAUUCGCUGGUGCCUGAAAGACAACGAUCAUAUUGUCUGGUGUUCUGCAUCAUGCAGUGGGUGUUAAAUUUUUUGUGGUGAGUUUAACCAGCAGUGCUAUAGAAUGGAAAGUAUAAGGACAAAUCCCAUUAACCUAACUAUAUAAAGACAAAAUAAACUGUGAGGGUUACAGGGCAGCUCCUCUGGCUGCCAUUUGGGUGACAGGAAAGGAAUCAUCAAGGUAGUGGUUUUGCCCCUGAGUGGUUAUCAUCUCUUCUAGAAAUUGCCAUGCACAGCUUAAGUUCUUUCCUUUUAUAAACCCAGGAGAAUAGCAUCUUCUAUUGGCCAGUGUUAGGAACAGGAUAUUAUUAUAUGAGAAUGGAUUUUGGCUCACUGUUCUUUUUUUUGCUUGAACAAUAAAACCUUUAGCGGCUAUAAGAACUGAAUGGGACUGUACUGAGAAGCUGUGCACUUCAGAGUGGUCUGUGGGUUUAGCUCCUUUUAAAAGGUCUUUUGUGGGGUAGGAUCUAUACUUUGUAAUGCUCACAUAUCACUUAACAAAUGUUGCAGUUUUUGUGAACACACCAUAAGUCACGAAACUUAAAUAUGGUAUGUAGACUUGAUAUGUACACAGAGCUAUUUCAGCGCUUCCUCGUUUUGUAGAAGGACACACACACACACACACACACUAGAAUAUCAGGAGCCUAAUGUAUACAAAGCAAAAUAGUUCUGACCAGUGGUAGAAUCUGUUCUUUCCCUCCUAUUAGCUAGUUGGAAAAAACCAUGCCUGUGAUUUUAAUAUGGGCUGCAAUUAGAUGUGCACAUUAGAAGUAUCUUUCUUUCAUUCCAAUACUAAACAAAGCUUUUUAUAUUAUUUUUUUUCAUGUUACAGUUAAAAGUAAAUGUUACAGAUAUUAUUGACUUCAAAAAAUCUUUUGUGGAUUGGCUCAGCAUAGUAGAGACUCAUUGCCUGCUUGUAAUGCAACAAGUUGUUCUUUCCACAGCCCACAAUAUUUAUAGGCCUUUCACCAUUUGCAAUAAUUUACUACUUCAUUUGACCUCUUUUCCAAAGUGCUACAGCCGACAAAAAAAAAAAAAAAAAAGAAAAUCUGUUUUCUCUGGCUGUUUCACCAUUCCUUCUUGUUUUGCAUAUCUACUUCUUUCACUAGGGUCUCUGUUAGCCCUCUCUCUCUAGGUAGCUGUGUCUGUCCUGCAGUUCUUGCAAGUGUUCUGCUAAAGAUCUUGCCUGGGAUCAGGAUAUUUAGGGAAGUACACAGUUUGCUGACAUGUAGUCUCUGACUUGUGCCUGCUUUGUUGCUCAGCCUAAACUGUGACAUGGUCUUGCAUAUGCAUUCCAGGAACAGCACAUUGUUCUAACUGGUAAAAAAAUACACGAUUCACAUGCUUUUGCUAGAGCUGCUUCCUCUUAACCCUAAAGCUGACUUUUUGUUAAUGACAUUUUCCUCCCAUGGAAACAUGGUAAACAGUCUGGGACUGCAGGUUAUUCAUAUAGAAAAGCAGAUGAUGAGGUUUGACAUUUCACAGGAAAAAGAGGUCUGAAGAUUUAUAACAACGUGCUUCAUUCACUGUUCUGUUCUUGAUUUUUUUAAACUCUAAAAAUAAUAGUCAUGUACCCUUAGGAAGGAGGUAGGGAAGUCUUUUUCAGCAGUGAACAGACUGUUGAGUUAUAGUAACUUGCCUUUUCUCCUGGUGGUUUUUCUCAUUCAAAAAAAAAUUAAUUACCAAGAUAUACCAAAACUGGGUAAAAAACCCUUUCUUAGGGUUUUCAACCCUUUCUGUGUAUUGAAAUGAAAUUAAAAGCAGUGGGGAAAAUUAAUACCAGAGGUUGAAAUAGUUUGCUUUGUUCUCUUAUUCCCAUCCUCAUGUUAUGUUUUUGUUGGUUUGUUUUUAAGGUUAAAAAUCUUAAAAUGUAUGGGAGAUGGGCAGCUUUCUUGUUUUAUUCAAAGUCUGGUUUCCAUCAUGAAAGCCUGUGAAACUUGAAGGAUAUAGGUUCUGGUCACAAGAAUGCAAAGCAGUGAUCUAUUGUGUCUUUUCUCCUUUGUGCUCUGGAGUUUAACCAGCACACUAGUCUAAUAUUCUCUUGCUUGCUAGUGGCAGUUUCUGUUUCUUUUUUGUUUUGGUUUUUUUUUUGGUAGUGGUAGUCAUUAGACUUUCUCCCAAGAGAAUCACUGCCAAAGUAAACAAACAUCUUCAUGAAAGGAAAAUAAUGUCUAGAGUAUUCAGAAUUCCAUGUUUUACAGAUGAGUAUUUGUGGCAACCAACUAGUGAAUUAAAGUGAAUGAAAUCCUAUUUCUAGUUUGCUACUUUUGCUGUGCUAAUUGAAUGUGACAAUUUCUGCUAGCUUCUCAGCUCUGCAGUGCAAGUACUGGAUGCUAGUUAUAGUUUAAGAUUAAGAAAAAUAUGAGAUGAAACUUGGUUUAGAAAAAUGAUUUUAUUUUUUAUUUUUUAUUGGUGGGAAUUGAAUAAUACAUGUAAACCUCCAAGGAAUUGCUGUUGUCUCUAAAGUGUUCUGCAUGUGGUUGGCAAGAAAAACAAGGAGAGAGGAAAGUUCAGCUAAAAAAUUCAUAAAGGCUGUCUGGUGGAAUGCAUUACAGUCAUCUGUAUACCUCUGUGCUCUUAUCCCUCUGAACUGAUAAUUUUUAGCUGAGAUGAAACGUUCUGACAAACAGGAGGCUGGCAGAUUUGCAGCAUAGAUUGUUUGAAGGUUUAAAUACUGUGACUAUCUCAGCUUACUGUAAGUCUGUAGAUAUAAUGUAAGCUGGAGUUGCUGAAAAGUGAUAGAAUAGCUCAUGUGAACAGCCAAAAAACCCUGCAAAGAGCUUUUUUUGUGUGCUUCAGAAUUCUGCAGUCUUUCUCUAUCUUUCUACAGGAUAGCAAUAAUUCACCAGUAGAGCAGAGACACUUCAAAUUUGUUGACGAUGAAACCAUAUCUAGCUCUUUGUUUAGGCAAAGGCUUUCACAAAGGGGACCAGUGCUAAGUGGGAGCUGCUGCCAACACCAUCAUACGUUUCUUGACAAAUGCAAAGUGUUCAAAAAGUUGGCACUACAAAAUAGAGAUACUGUCAAUCUUUGUUUAAUUCUCAAAAUGGCUUUUAAGCUUUUAAAGCUUGUGUUGUUGCUGGUGCACUUGCAUAUCAGAUAACAUUUUUGACAGCCCUUAUAAUAUGGCUGGUUAAUUUAGUCACAUUACUAGAACAUAAACCAAAAUUCUGCGAGUGCUAAGAUUUUACUGCUGUUUUUUUCUAUGUGCCAUGAGCAGAAGAAGGGUAUGUUCAGCAGUGUGUGCUACUAUAGCCAGAACACAGUAUUUUCUCAUCUCCUUUUCUCUGCACCAUGCAGAUGCAGCUGCCACUGUUUAGCAAACAUGAAGGUGUUGUUCGCAGCUCUGUGAGUAAGUUUGGGUUUUGCUUUACAUAAUGCAGGAGACAUCUCUACUAAUUGCACAAAUGUUCAGCCUAUAUUUAUGUACCUGAAUAUUGUGGUGUAGGAGGCAAAUUAAAAUUUUAAGGUAUUAUUUCUAUGAUCAUUGGCUAGGUCUCCAGAAGCUCAUGGACCUGGAUUGUGCUAGGAAUAACUGUGUGGUGCUUCCAAGUGAUAGAAUAAUCUGUUCUGAAGGGUGGAAUACUCUAGUGUGACUGCGUGUAGGAGAUGAGGUAGGAGACCCAAGGAAACUCUGUAAAUUUUUGGGCAAGGAGGCUUUGAAGUAGAAGUCAUGAGUCCUGCAGGUCCCUGAUCUCAGGUGCAGCAGGAGGAAGCAAGUGUCUGUAGCUACUAGGUCUGCCCCGCUGCAGGAAGUGUACAGAUCAUGUAGCAACUUAAACAGAAGGAGUAUAUGUUUGUACCUCAGCAGGCUAUUAAAAAAGUGCUUUCAACUGCUACAAGAAAAUUUAUUAAAGCUUACUUAUUAAACUCAAAGUAACAGAAGAACAGGUUCCCCUUCUGAACCAUAGCAUCUGUGUUGUACAAAAACCAAAGGCAGCCUCUCUGAUUUAUAUGUGAAAAUACAUUCUCUUGUACUUGACCUUAUUUUCUCUUUGAGUGUAAGAUGGAUGCUCACUAGUUUUACACCACCACCCACUGCUUCAGUAAGAUUAUUUUCAACAGAUUCUGCAAGAAAUUUUCUGCUUUGAUUAAUAUGGAAUUAUCUCAGAAAUUACCAGUGCAGACUCUUCAGAUUUAGCAUAGAACUAAAAUUAGUCAGUCUAGAGCUGAAGAAGCACAGAUUAAAAUUUAAAAAUACAUUAACCAUAUAAUUGUGAGUAAUUAUGAUGAUAUAUCCAGUAGUCAAGUUGGGGUCAACAGUGCUGGGCUGGCCACAAGGGAUAUCAGAGUUUAGCUGGUCAGGAGCAGCCAGCCUGCUUGAGGGGUAGGAUUUCUUUCCCAUUUGCUGAGGGCAUGCAGCUUCUUUUAGGAAAUGCUCCAUUAUCCAUGGCUGGAAUGAUGAGACUUGUCUAGUGAUGAGGCUGUCCCUCUGGGGGGGAAAAGGGGCAGGCCUGGAUGCAGUGCAGAAUUGAACUCAGCUCUGCCAUACAGCAAACGAAGGCUCUCUCAACACUUGGCUGGUUUUAGUCAUGUCCCAGCUGCCUUCCCCACCCCUGGCUUUUUGUUUGUUUUUUAACCUACUAAGUUAUAUUUCUGAACAGUGUAGAGUGACUACUGAAGCUUUCACUUAUUUUCCUGUGGGUCUCCCUGCUCCUUCUAAAUAUGCCUAGCUCUAGCUGGGUCUCAGAAACAAGAAAUCUUGAGUUCUCCCAUAAUAAUUUACAUGUCUGAUCUGAUGAUGAAUUGUAAAUCAAUUAAGCUUCAUGACUUUUGAACAUUCAUGCAAUUAUGAUACAAAGACAUUGAAAAGCAAUAUGCUAAUUUUGCCCCAUAUAUUUUGGUUACUAAAGGUCAUAUUAUUCACAUGAUUAUUUCUUAAUGCUCAUGUAUAGCAUUCUUAAUAAUUGUAAAGAAAAGAAAUCAAAGAAAAAUUCUUUGCCAAAAAACAAUACAAAGACUAAACAUAUUAGAAUAUUAAUGUUAAAAUAUUUUAGAAGUCCAUUAGCUAUAAAAAAUAAUUGAAACCUAGAAAAUGUAGGGAAAAUACUGCAUUUCAGUAAAAUGAAAUAUAUUUAAAAAGAAAACACACAGUUGAAUGCCAUCCAGACAAACUUAAUUUGCUUCUGUAAUGAGAACCUGAGGGAAAUGUUGAGUUAAAUUUAGUUUAUUUCAGUCGAUUCUAUUUUUUUUAACCCUUUAUGCCCAUAUAUAAAAGAAUUAUGAUUGCUUGGAUGCCUUAACCAUCAACUCCUCUAUUUUUCAUAUGUUUACUUUUUGGUAGGUUUUAUCUAACCGAGUGCUGGAAGUGCUUUCUAACCACAUAGCUACAAGGUGAAGGAACUAAGGAAAGAGCAGAAUUGUUGCCUUCAUCUUUUUAACAGGGAGUACAAAACCUACUGAAAUUUUGUCAUUUAUUCUCUCAUUAUGGUACUAAGAGCUCAGAUCCAUUUUUAUGCAAUGGCACAAAGCAGUUUGCUACUUAAGUAUAUCUUGCAGAAGCUGAGGAACAUCUAUGCCACAAAUCAAUUGUACCCACGAUAUUAAGAGGGAAGAUGACAUAGACCUUUAAAAAUUCCCAAAACUUGACAAAUGACCUUGAGUAAUUGUGAUAUAAUUUUGGGUCAGUGUGCUUUGACUGGUGGUCAGUCAAAAUGCAUCAUCCAGAGAUUUGUUUUCACAGCUGUAAUAAUUUUUUUUGGUGUUCAUGCUUAUAGCAGGUUGUAGCUAAAGAGCAGAAAACCUCAUAAAAUGUCUAUAUUAGGAAAUCAAAGGGCUUUUCCUUUCUGUCUUUCCUCCCAAAUAACAUAUCUUUUUUUCAACAUUGAAAGGUUGUCUUUAUUAGAGGAAAUUUACCAGAGACUAGAGUGAUAUAAUUAUGCCUUGUGGAUGCUUUUUAAUCUUGCAUGAAUGCCUGUAGAAUUCUAGUGUCCACUUCGGGAGUUAUACUAUUAGAACUAUAGGGACAUAAUUAUUCAGGUGAAUUCUGUAUUGAGACAAAUGCUUUAUGAAAAGGAAUUUUAUUUUAGCUCUUUACUUUUCAGCUUAUUCAUGUUCUGAACUAAAAGGAGGUGAUCAAAUCAAUGAAAAUAAUGAAAAUUCAAUGGUUACCAAGGGCUGGGAAAAUUGGAAAGUAAUAAAUAUAUAUGUUUCCUGAUAACACUCAAGUGCGUUUUGGUUUUUAUUCUCUUGCCAGUGUUUGAGUUUGUGAAGGGUUUAGUGAAAGGUUAAUAAACAAGGCUUGUUCUUUGCUGAACCUCAUAAACUAAUAUGUGUAAUAGCUAAACACUUGUAGAAUAUUAGAGAUUCUUAGCUCCCAUAAAAAGCAGCUGGGGCUUCAGGCAAAUAGGAUACUGGAGAAUUAGUUGAAUACUUUUUAGUCUCUGUAGGACCUCAGCAGUUAACACUGAUCAAAUCAACCAUUGAGUUGCUAUAUAUGAAUUUUCAUACAUCCCAGUUAAAUUGUAGUUCCUAAAUAUGUGAGUCCUAGGACAGUAGUCAAAAUGUUCUCUACAAAAAUAGCUUAUUUACAUGAAAAUAACUUUUGGUAGGUCAGUAAGGGUGUAGUAACACUAAUAAUUAUUUACAAAAUGUUCUUAGAGUAAAUUACAAGCAUGUCUCAGUGUAAUUGCUGCAUAGACUUUAAGAGAAGAAGAGCUCAGUCAUUUUGGUGAUGUAAUCCAGUCCAGCCUUAGCAGUGACCACAGAGCAUCACACUGUAUGUCUUGCUUCAAGACCAAGGUGAACUUCAUUAGAAAAAUGUCUCGUUCAUAUUUAAAGAGUUCAAAGAACAAAGAGUCCAUACCAACACUCCCUGUUCAUGUGAAGUGUUUUAUUUGUGGUCUGAAUUUAGCUUUGACUUGUUCAGUCUUUGCAGGGUUAAAAAAGCCUUUAGUGCUGGACAGUAUUCAAUGAAAACAUUUGAAGGCUGGGAUCAAGGUAUCUCAGCCCUCUUUAGUUGUUAAGCAAAUCUCAUUGACGCACUUUAGUUUCUAAUUGUAAGGCAAGAUUUCUGUAUCACCAGUUUUUCUUGUAGCUUCUUUCAAGUUUUCAAACAUCUUUCUUAAAUAAGGACAUCAGUGUUGUCAGCAGUGGUAUUACUAAUGAGAGAAAUUACAGCAAGAGCUAACAAAAGCAUGCUAUUCUUGCUGUAUUUGAAGCAUGGAGAAGAUUUUGUUUCUCGUAUUUCUCAUCAUAAGCCUUUUAUGAGAGACACUUUGCAAGGGCCUCCAUUGAAUAAUAUGUUUUCAAGGCAAGCAUAUUAGGAGACAGGAAAGUGACACCUUGCUGUGAUAACCAGAAUAUUUGGGUUUGCCCUGGGUAGUGUUGCACACAAUGGUAGUGCUUCUCUCCUGCUUCAUGUUUUUUUAUCUGCUAUUAUUUAUUUUAGAGUUGAAAAUACAGCCUUCAGUGUUGUAAAUACUGUUUACUUUUUUUUUCAACAUGUGUAACUGGUAUUUUUAUCAUUAAUGAAGCAUACAUCUGUCAUUUUAAGUAAAGCAGUUUACAAGGAAGCAUGGCUGUGCCAUUUUUUUAAUUUCCUAUUUUUCACCUGUAGAAUUUCCAGGUUUUUCAUCAAAGCAUAUCCCUGUAUGUCCGCCUAAUAUAUUCACCUGAGGUAAAUGAGUAGAAUUAGUCCAAAAAAAAAAAAAAAUCUUUCCUAUGAGCUGACUAUCGAAACAUUGCAAAUGGAAGAUGAGUCUGGUUUUCAUUACCAGUAGAACUCUGUUAUUUAUUCUUAAUGUAGACUAGAGGUCUUUGCAUGGUGUCAUUAAAUGGUUUGAUAAGUGUUUUAGAGGGAUAAAAGUAUGUGGUUUUGCAUUUUUACUGCAUCACUCUGCAGCUGUUUCAGGCCUGCUGUGCAAGCAUACUGAAACAUAAUAUUUUAAUUUCUUUUUAGUUAGCAAUAGUUUCCAGUCCUUUACUGUUUUCUCCAGAGCAGGCUGUGUGCUAGGCAUAGUAGAGCCUCAGCUAGAGUAUCUGAGGAACUUUUUUGGUGUUCUGAAAAUAAUGAGAUCAAUUUUAUUGUGUUUGGGUGGAUUUGUGGAAGGGGCAGCACACUGCAGUCAAGCUUAGAAAAGGGAGCAAGGAAGCCCGUCAGUCUGAGUUCUGCUCUCAAUGUGACCCUGAGAAAGAGGUGAUUGAAACUGUGAGGAUGGAAUCUGUCUCCUGCUGUUUGCUUCCUACUGUGUUCAAUGAAACAGCAUAUAAUAUAUAUGGUUUCUACAUAAAUAGGACUGCAUUGAAUAAAUGCCCAUAAACAGUUCAAGGUGCAACAUACAAGACAUCAAAAAUCAGAAAAUAUUUCGUGUAUUUACUGACCAAGUUUAUAGCAGUAUCUUAGAAAGCCCUCAGUGAAGGUGAAUGGAGACAGAAGACAGUGAUAAAAUUUAACUAAAACUACACACCAAGUCUGUUUUUCUGUCUGGAGUUCUAACUGAAAAUUACAUAUUUCUAGCAGCACUGAGAAUUUUUGUUUGCAUUGUGUUUCUAGUCAGAACAAAACCUUGAUAGUUAUGGAAUAAUAUAGAAAAACCUGGUGUAGAAGGGAGCUCUGGAGAUUAUCUGCCCUAGGCUCUUGUUGAAAGCAAGACCCUCGAUGAGAUAAUCAAGGGCCUGUCAAGGCCAAUGAGUUCCCCACUUCUCUGGGUAAACUGCUCAAAGUUCAGUUGCUCUCAUGAUGAAGAAUUUCUUCUUAAACAAAAAUGGGUUUCCCCUGAAGCAGCCUAUUGCCUUCUGGUACUGGGCAUCUUGCUGAAAAGAAUCUCUGUCAUCUUUGUAACAAUUUAAGUGCUAGAGGAUGGUGUUCAACCCUCAAUUGCCUCUUCUUCAUUCUGAACAACCCGAUUAUUUCAAGCUUUCUUCAUCCGUCAAGGUCUCCAGUCCUCUGAUCAGCUCAAUGGCCUUCUGCUGGAUUAUCUCCAAUUUUUAGCAUGUUUUUUUAGCUAAAAGGACCAAGACUGGACACAAUAUUCCAGAUGUAGCCUAGUAAUCGGUGAAGAGAAUGCAAUUGCUAUGUCCGCUUUGUUUGUUGGCUGCAGACAUACUGAGGAAGCCUACAACUCCAACUGCUUUCAUUCCUGCAACAGCACCAGGCUGGCUUGUGUUCAGCUUGUGAUCCCUUUACCCU